AGUGAGUUGACCUUAUGAAAAACUCCCUGGCUCUACAUAACAUCACAUCUUACAAAAUAAAUAAGCAGUGCAUAAAAAAUGGACACAGAGGUAUCAGAAAGCUAUUAAUUUAGUCCAAACAGAGUGAAUACAAUGGGUUAAACAACUAUCUCAAUUUAGAAAAUGUGGUCAUGAUAGUGCUAAUUCGUUAUUCCAAGUACUCCCCAAAUAAUCACUUGGGUCUUCUUAUUAGGUAAAACAUUUGUGUCUUCAGUCAUUACUAGUAAGUCACUUUAGGAAAAGUCAGUGGAAGCCACAAAUUCAUACUUAAGUAAAGGUUCUGGAGGCAAAUACCCUUUUAGCCACUCUUUCUAUUUUCAACUCCACUAGACUCAGAAGAGUUUAAAAUUAAUGACUAUAGGUCAUUGCAUUGUCCAGACCUCCCAAAGGCCAAACCUAGGACAUCCCUAUUGGUCCUUGUAAAAUUCAAUGUUGAAAACAUUGUUUCAAAACUAAACAGUUCUCAAAAACUAAAUCUGACUUCAGACUGUGAUUACAGAAUAUAAAAUGUGUUGCCUUCACCAUGCAUUGGGCUGCCAAGGGUAGGAAAUCAAACCAACCAACUGCCUAAACACAGCUGCUCUGCAGACUGGUUAAAUGCAAACAGUGCUACGCAUGACUGAGACAUGAUAUUAGAAACGAAGAAAACGAAAGUAUUUCAGACCCUUUGAAAACAGGAACUGCCACAAGGCUAUAUAAAUUUUUUAGUGUAGAAUUCAAUAAACAUUUCAUCAUCAAUAGGAUUUCAUAAACUCUACCACGAUACAAGACUUAGAAGCCACUUUCUCCAGGUCAUCUUCUUUAUUAGUAGAUGAAUCUAAAUGAAAGUCUUGCAGUCAGACUGGAGAGCAGCUUGCCUUAUUGGACAGGAUAUACAGGAUUUUAUAAACUCUACCAUGAUACAAGACUUAGAAGCCACUUUCCCCAGUUCAUCCUCCACUUAGUAGAUAAAUCUAAAUAAAAGUCCUGCAGCCAAGUUGGAGAGCAGAUUUCCCUAUAGGACAGGAUACACAGGUAAUGUGUGUUUGGGGUAUGGGAAGAACUUUGCGGCUGGGUUUAUGGCUAAAGAGUUAUUAAUUAAGGAAUCAGAACUUCCCCUUGGCUGCACUUCAGACGUACGAGGAAUGACCAGAACAAGGAAACUGAAUGAGCCAUCAUAAUGAGUCCGAUGGCUGACCCAAAGUGAGAGUUUAGGCUAGAAGGCCGAAGCUGGAAGUCAUGGGUAAACAGCCAAUGUUCUAGGAAAUGGAGUAAUGUUGUAAUCUAAACCUGAAGGAUUGUGAGAAACAGAGUUGAGGGGCAUGAACACCAUCUAGCCAUGAAAGAGAAACUUGGCAUAUGAAGACUGAGGAGAGUGUCUCAGGAUGAAAGCCAGAAAGUUAAUCUAAAUAUCUGUAUGAUAGAGGAAUAUAAAGGAUUGAAUGCUCUAUUCCUGUUUAAAACUGGCCUCUGAGUAUGAGCAAAUUUGGUGAGUGGAGCCUUUUUCUUGUGGGGCAGCGAUUAGCAACAGUGCGUGUUUCUCACAGGAAUUAGGAGCCCUGAGUCAAAUUCUCACUGUCCUAAAAGAUGACUUCCCAAAUGUGUUUCCUAUUCUGCCUGGGAGCAUGGUCCAGAAAGUACAAUACUGGGUAGAGUCCUCUCUGCUGGCUGCUGCUAUAGCCAGGAUACCCAUUCAAGUAUUCCCUGGCAUGAAACCUUUCAAGCACUCCUCUUGCUUACUUUUCUAGAAAUUCUUUCUUGUCCUGGAAUACACAUCCAUCCUACUAACGCUCUUCUGGGUGGGCUCAGAGGACUACACUGAGUCCUAACCACUUUCUCCCUUGUCAUCUCCGCAGUCUUGCCCCUAUAACCAUUGAGGCAAUUACGUACCUUCUUUUCUUUGUGAAGGUGCCCAUAGUAACAGCAAAGUGGUGAUGGGCUCCACUCCAAAAUAAUUGUAAACUUCCAACUUACUUUACAACUGGGGUCAUGAGCAAAGGAGGGCAGCUACCGUGAGAAAUUUCAAUGUGGUUUUGUUACACCUCUCUUGGUAAAGCCAUAUAAAAUAAUGACAAAACAGCAGCAUUAGCAGCAACAACUUUGGUCUUUGAUAGUGCAUCACCCUAUGUGAGAAUUUCGGCAAUUUUGCCUAGCCUUUUAAUCUCAAGAAAUGAUAAUAAUAAUAAAUAAUGAAUUUUUCCUUGAGAGUUACA
rnacentral:lncRNA from 1 species